UACGGGGGGGCGAGCGUUGUUCGGAAUUAUUGGGCGUAAAGGGCGCGUAGGCGGUUUGUCGCGUCUGCUGUGAAAACUGGAGGCUCAACCUCCAGCCUGCAGUGGGUACGGGCAAACUAGAGUGCGGUAGGGGAGAUUGGAAUUCCUGGUGUAGCGGUGGAAUGCGCAGAUAUCAGGAGGAACACCGAUGGCGAAGGCAGAUCUCUGGGCCGUAACUGACGCUGAGGAGCGAAAGCAUGGGGAGCGAACAGG
rnacentral:rRNA from 1 species